rnacentral:lncRNA from 1 species
GUUGUCGGAGUGUGCUGCGAUUGAAAAUGUCUGAGUUGUUGGAGAAAGCCAAGAACUUUGCGGCAGAGAAAGUGGGUCAUGCAAAGAAGCCAGAGGCAGAAGUCACAGAUGUUGAUUACAAGACGCUGAGCUUAGGAUCUGUUGAGUACCUUGCUAAAAUCUCUGUGACCAAUCCCUAUGGAGUUGACCUCCCCAUCUGUGAUAUCACUUACACCCUCAAGAGUGUUGGCAGGUUCCAAUUCUCACUUUUUAUUUUAACACUUUUGAGUUCAAUUUUUAUUUGUUUAUUUUUGUUAUAGAUACUCUUUUGAUCCAUGUGUUUUACUUGAAUUUUCUAAUUUGGUUUUUGUGUUUUCAAUUUCAUCAAUCUUGUCAUACGUUUUCAUUCUCAUAACGUGUACAUUUGGUGUUAGUUUUACUUUGUCGAAAGAGAUUUCGAGUUCGAACCAAUACACAAUAUUUGGAUAAAAAAACAAAAAAGAUUAGUUCUAUGCCAUGCUCAUGGAUAUAAAGUGACUUGAUUUGUAUGUGUACGUGUGAAUUUGUAGGGAGAUUACAUCUGGAACUGUUCCAGAUCCUGGUUCAAUAGAAGGAAAGGACAUUACUGUGCUUGAGGUACUAUUAAAGGUGCCACAUAACAUAUUGUUGACCUUGGCAAAAGAUAUUGGAGCAGAUUGGGACAUUGAUUAUGAGCUGGAUAUAGGCCUCACCAUUGACCUUCCUGUCUUUGGCAACUUCACCAUACCACUUAACAAGAAGGGAGCGAUCAAGCUUCCCAGCGUCUUCUGAUCCAUAUGACCUUUGGGAUUCUAUGGGUUUGGUUAUGUUCUGUAACUUUUCUUUUGUUGUUAAUUUAAGUACAUUAAGAUAUGGACUCUGUCUUUGCUCAGCACAGAGUGUUUUAAGUUUUUUUGGUUUUUUGUUUUCAGUUGGUUGUUAUCUUCCACCUCUAUCUAUAUGGGCAGAGGUUCGAAGUUGAGUAUUUGUGUUAAUCUUCCUUCCUCAAUAUUUUAUAAUAAAAAAAAUAUUUAAGUUUUUUAAAAAUAUUUUAUAUACCAGUGAUAUUGGAAGGGCUCUUAAUAAUUUAAUUAAAAAUAUAAUAAAAAUCCUAAUAAGUUUGAACAAAGCCAAAGUUGGGGAAUUACAAAGCAGGAACAAUAGCAAUGAGGGGAAGGGGGUGAUUAGGAGUAUAAGCCUUAUCAAAGUACUAUAUGCGUACUUUGAUAUUUAAAGUUAAUGUCGAUUAUACUUUUUUAAUGCUGAUAAUAGCUUCCUAAAUAUCAGUGUCUUCAUUAGCUAGAGUGGCCCUAAUCAGACAUUGUUAUAAAUCUAGAGAAAUUGGAGAGAAUUGAGAUAGAGAGAAACUGAUCUCUUAUUGAAUAUUUGUUCUUCACAUAUCUGUCUUACAAAGAGAAGGGGAAGGGGCUUAUUUAUAGGUAAGUAGAAGUGGGCUCCACCAUAUAUAUUUACAACAGACAUCUAUAUAUUAUUGUUUUUUAGGGACUAUCUAUGCUAGAAAGGAAAAAGUUCUAGCCUCCUCUCUCUCAAAAAAAAAAUAAAAAACUCUCUGAGUCCUUUUUAUUUUGAGGGGGAGGAAGUCAUUGUUCUUCCCCCCUUUCCGUUCUUCUUUUCUUCGCUUAUCUUCUUCUCCCAUUCUAAAAAACAGAAGGCUUCCACUAUUUGUCUUAUUUUAUUAUGAUUUUCCUUUAAUCAUUACAGACGGUUGAGUUACGGUGUUGGAUCUCUACUUGCGUUUCGCCGUUGGAUUUCCACCACCAUCCUUUUUGUGAUUUUUUUUAUAUAUUUGGAAUAAGUCGCAAAGACUCUUUGAGUUUUCUCUGUAGUUUUCACAUCUCCUUUUGUGAGAACUUUUCACCUUUCUUUUAUGAGAGCUUUUCAUAUCUUCUUUAUGAGAGUUUUAUUUGUAUUGUUAUGAUUUGAUUUUUUCAAGUUUUAUAUCUUUUUCAUUAUUCUGAGUUUGCAAUCUUAGUUGGAAUGCUUAUGCUAAAGUUUCUUCGAUCAUGCGUGAUCGUUAGUAGAGGCGCACAAAAUUGUCUUAAUUUUGAUGUUAAAUUGCUCUGUUAUUGUAAUGGCCCUUUGUGGCUAGUAGCUUUUUUGGUUAUUUAUGAAUGCAACCACAGAAUUUCUUAACUAAAAGAAAAAAGAAAAGGAAAAAGCUUGGCAGGGAGCCCAUCCUCCAAACAAAUAGAGUUUUGACACUUGGGAAAUUCCUUUUAUUUGUUUUGAAUUCCUUUUAACUUUAUUUCUUUCGAAAUUUUUUAAGUGUCAAAAUCUAAUUUAUUGUAAUGAUGUUUUCUUUCUCAAUUUUAAGGAGCCAAUCCAUGCUCUAGAAAAGAGCUGUAGUAAUUUAUGCUUUGAGAAGACACUGUAGGGGCUUUCGAAGGUGGAUAGAUUGGAUUUAGGGAAGCUGAGUUGCAGUGUGAUUUGGCAGUGGAAGCUGAGUUGGGAUUGGAAUUUGGACAAGAAGAAAGAGAAAGUUGCUGGAAGGACAACUUCGCCCUCAAUAUUGACAGAAAAAUGGAUGAUAUGUUUCAAAUUUGACAAUAGGGAGUAGAUUGACAAAAAAAAUUAGUUUGUAUCCUUAAUUGACUAAAAAAAGUUCAAAUUGGAAAAUCGAAAAUUACUUGAUAGUCCGGGACACAAUUCGGCAAUUUACUAAUGAAAUGAUUGCAUUACUAGCGUGUGUGAGGGUUUUGUAUAUAUGAUGGAUAUUCAAAUUAUUCAAUUAGGCCCCUUGUGACUUAUCCACUGCGACUAUAAAGGCACCCAAUUUUAUUUUUUUUGGUCGGAUAAAGGCACCGAAUUUGACGAUGAGAAUUGGACCCACCAUCCAGCCAAUUAAAUAGAACAUCACUCUCCACCGUCAGAUUGUCCAAAGUUAAAAAAAAGACCCAUCCCAUCUUAUCUCAACCCUUACUUUUAGUACAAACUUUCAUGUCAAGCAUCAUCAAUCCAUCACAGAUCUCUAAACACGGAGGAAACACGAGCGGACACGUAAGUGCCGACCUCCUGCCACGUGGCGCAAACCCAGUGCACCCGCUACCUCCUCUGUAUUUUACCCAAUAAAUCCAUUGAAGAUCCACCUCCUAUAAAUAGCUGCGAAAAUAUAAAUCUCAGCAACAAGGCUGCAAGUGCUAAAUCUAAUCUAGUGUUGAUCUCUUUGUUCGUAUUAAUAUUUUGUUGUUGGUGUGUGCGCUCUGAAAAUGUCUGAGUUGUUGGAAAAAGCCAAGAACUAUGUGGCUGAGAAAGUGGGUCAUGUGAAGAAGCCAGAGGCAGAAGUCACAGAUGUGGAUUUCAAGACGGUGAGCUUUGGAUCUGUUGAGUACCUUGCAAAAAUCUCUGUGACCAAUCCCUAUGGAGUUGACCUCCCCAUCUGUGAUAUCACUUACAACCUCAAAAGUGUUGGCAGGUUCCAAUUCUCACUUUCUAACACUUAGGGUUCAAUUUUUAUUUGUUUAUUUUUGUUAUAGAUGCUCAUUUGAUCCCUGUGUUUUGCUUGAAAUUUCUAAUUUGAUUUUUGUGUUUUCAAUUUCGUCAAUUUGGUCCCCUAUUUUCAUUUUCAUAAUGUGUAAGAAUCAAGAUUGUCAAACAUCGAAAUAGAUUACGGUCAAAUUAGGCAAAGGGAUCCUGAUUGUCAAAUUCAAAGCAUAGAGAACAGAAUAAAAAUUUGAACAGAACAUACGAUUGGUGUUGUGGUGUUGGUUUUACUUUGUUGGAAGAUAUCUCGAGUUCAAAUGCGAUCAAUACACAAUUUUUUGAUUUAAAAAAAAAAUAGAUUAGUUUCUAUGCCAUGAUCAUAUAUAUAAAGUGACUUGAUUUGUAUGUGUACAUGUGAAUUUGUAGGGAGAUUGUAUCUGGAACUGUACCAGAUCCUGGUUCCAUAGAAGGAAAGGACAUUACUGUGCUUGAGGUACUAUUAAAGGUGCCACAUAACAUAUUGUUGAC